rnacentral:rRNA from 1 species
CCCUUAGAUGUUCUGGGCCGCACGCGCGCUACACUGAUGCAUUCAACAAGCCUAGCCUUGACCGAGAGGUCCGGGUAAUCUUUGAAACUGCAUCGUGAUGGGGCUAGAUUAUUGCAAUUAUUAAUCUUCAACGAGGAAUGCCUAGUAAGCGUGAUUCAUCAAAUCGCGUUGAUUACGUCCCUGCCCUUUGUACACACCGCCCGUCGCUCCUACCGAUUGAAUGUGUUGGUGAGGAGCUCGGAUUAGCAGCAGUUGGUGGUUCGCCACCGGCUAUUGCUGAGAAGUCCUCCAAACCGCCCCAUUUAGAGGAAGGAGAAGUCGUAACA